CACGUAGGGGGCGAGCGUUGUCCGGAUUCAUUGGGCGUAAAGAGCUCGUAGGCGGCUCAGUAAGUCGGGUGUGAAACCCUCAGGCUCAACCUGGGGACGCCACUCGAUACUGCUGUGGCUAGAGUCCAGUAGAGGAGUGUGGAAUUCCCGGUGUAGCGGUGAAAUGCGCAGAUAUCGGGAGGAACACCUGUGGCGAAGGCGGCCCCCUGGUUGGAUACUGACGCUGAGACGCGAAAGCGUGGGGAGCAAACAGG
rnacentral:rRNA from 1 species